rnacentral:rRNA from 1 species
GCCAUAUUUGGCAAGCGUUGCUCGGAAUCACUGGGCGUAAAGGGCGCGUAGGCGGGAUGGCAAGUCGGUCGUGAAAUCCUUCGGCUCAACCGAAGAACGUCGGCCGAUACUGCCGUUCUUGAGGGAUGCAGAGGAGAUUGGAAUUCCCGGUGUAGCGGUGAAAUGUGUAGAGAUCGGGAGGAACACCGGUGGCGAAGGCGGGUCUCUGGGCAUCUCCUGACGCUGAGGCGCGAAAGCGUGGGGAGCAAACGGG